rnacentral:rRNA from 1 species
UACCCGCAGCACAAGUGGUGGUCAUUAUUAUUGGGCCUAAAGCGUCCGUAGCUGGCUUGUUAGAUGCCUGGGUAAAUCGAUGCGCUCAACGUAUCGAAUUCCGGGUAGACCGGCAAGCUCGAGACCGGGAGAGGUGUAGGCUACUCGAGGGGUAGGGGUAAAAUCCUGUAAUCCUUCGGGGAGGACCAGUGGCGAGGGCGCUACACUAGAACGGCUCUGACAGUGAGGGACGAAGCCCUGGGGCGCAAACCGG